rnacentral:rRNA from 1 species
GACGAACGCUGGCGGCGUGCUUAACACAUGCAAGUCGAACGGAAAGGCCCUGCUUUUGUGGGGUGCUCGAGUGGCGAACGGGUGAGUAACACGUGAGUAACCUGCCCUUGACUUUGGGAUAACUUCAGGAAACUGGGGCUAAUACCGGAUAGGAGCUCCUGCUGCAUGGUGGGGGUUGGAAAGUUUCGGCGGUUGGGGAUGGACUCGCGGCUUAUCAGCUUGUUGGUUGGGUAGUGGCUUACCAAGGCUUUGACGGGUAGCCGGCCUGAGAGGGUGACCGGACACAUUGGGACUGAGAUACGGCCCAGACUACUACGGGAGGCAGCAGUGGGGAAUAUUGCACAAUGGGCGGAAGCAUGAUGCAGCAAAGCAGCGUGCGGGAUGACGGCCUUCGGGUUGUAAACCGCUUUCGCCUGUGACGAAGCGUGAGUGACGGUAAUGGGUAAAGAAGCACCGGCUAACUACGUG